rnacentral:rRNA from 1 species
AACGAACGCUGGCGGCGCGCCUAAUACAUGCAAGUCGAGCGAGAAGACGUAGCAAUACGUUUGUAAAGCGGCGAACGGGUGAGGAAUACAUGGGUAACCUACCCUCGAGUGGGGAAUAACUAGCCGAAAGGUUAGCUAAUACCGCGUACGCUUCUUGGACUUCGGUUCAGGGAGGAAAGCGAUACCGUGGGUAUCGCGCUCUUGGAUGGGCUCAUGUCCUAUCAGCUUGUUGGUGAGGUAACGGCUCACCAAGGCUUCGACGGGUAGCUGGUCUGAGAGGACGAUCAGCCACACUGGCACUACGACACGGGCCAGACUCCUACGGGAGGCAGCAGUAAGGAAUAUUGCGCAAUGGGCGAAAGCCUGACGCAGCGACGCCGCGUGGGGGAUGAAGGUCUUCGGAUUGUAAACCCCUUUCGGGAGGGAAGAUGGAACGAGCAAUCGUUCGGACGGUACCUCCAGAAGCAGCCACGGCUAACUUCGUGCCAGCAGCCGCGGUAAUAC